GUCAGGGGGGAUUGUAUUGCAGAUAUUGGCAUGUGCUUUGUACAACAAUUGGUGGCCAAUGCUAACAGUAAUAAUGUAUGUGGUUCUACCUAUGCCCUUAAUUUUUUUGGCUGGCUCGGAUACUUCAUCUCUCUU